rnacentral:sRNA from 1 species
AGCAUGUGCAGCAUUUUUCCGAAGAUAUGUACAUUCUACAAAACAAGAAAUAAGUUGCACAUGCGAUCAAAGACUUAUUUCUUCACAUCCAUGUAGAUAUUGUCGGAUGUUAAAAUGUAUGAAAAUAGGAAUGUGUAAAACACGUAAGUUCCUUCUGUUUUCUUAACUUCUCGAUUAAAAAAAAUUAUUGCGAAUUUUCUGAAAAAAUGCAUUGACUUGGUGUAGCCUCGAAGAUUUUACUGUUCUAAAGUAAAUUUUUUUAAACUUAAAACACGAUAAAGCUUUUUCAGAAGUUCAACCACCACGUGAAAAAAACAAAAUUUUAAAUACGUUUCCGGGUACCACUAUAAUGAUCUCAAAACUUUCAGUAAGUUUGGAAAAGCUAAAAUUAUCACAUGCAAUCCCUUUUUCAGAAUAGUAUCAUCCCAAAAUCGUGUAACAACAUGUAUCGUGCGGUCGCGAAGUGGGUAGAUUUUGACCAAAGACGAAAAGAAUUACGCGGUGAUGAUUAUUUCGAUUAUAAUCUUACACAAAUCACUAAAAUGGUUAAUUUUAAUACAAAUUUGUUAUGGAAACUCGGAGAGUCAAUAUUCUCGGAUGUAUCUCGAUUGAGUAAAGAAGACAAAAACUCAAUGAUUUCAAACUUUUAUAUCAAAUGGCAACUUCUCAUGGAACCGGCAAUAGACUACUCAGCUCAGUAUGAACAAUUUAAAAAUUACAUCGGGUCAAAUGCAUACUACCAAAAGUGUGCUUACUUUUAUGGAAGUUCAAUGCAAAAAGGAAAUAAAAUUUCUGAUGUGGAGACUGUCAAAGUAUUUUCUCCAUUUUGGGACUACUAUUACGCAGAUUUUGCUGAACCAGUUUAUAAAAUGAACUACGACAAAGUGGAAUAUAUGGCUAUAUUUCUUCUACUGUUGUUUGACGGCGGUGGGUGUAUUUUUCAUGAAUUGAAAUUUAAUUAAUAAUUUCAGCGUACUCAGAUAUUAGUGACGAUGGCGUGAACUUGUGUACAAAUAUUCGAAAAGUAAUACUACGGGAAUUGAACAGUUAUCAAUCGAAUAACAAUUGCUCAGAAGUUCGUCUAGCUGAUAUAAUGGAAACUCUUCGAUUGUUGGAUAAACAUGAGGAAAAGCUACACUAUCAAUUUUGGAUGUGCGGGUCUCAUAAAAUGAUAAUGGAUGAAAAUUACGUACAAAUAUAUCUAGGUAUUAAACAUUAAAUACAUGUAUUUUAUCUUAAUAAAGUUAUUGCUGUCUCAAGUAGCAUAUGUCAGUAGCAUAUAAAUAUUCAACCUUUCAAAGUUUAGGACUCCAAAGAUUUUGGGGUCUGAUCACUUACGAGACAAUACUAUUUUCCGUGCAGCUUUUCAAAGUAUAAGUAACAGAGACAGACUACUGAAGACUGCAAUUAGAUAAUUUUUACUGGUUUGUUUUCAGUUCAAGCCUAAUAGCUUUUAUUCAAGAUUUUAAAAAUGUAUAUAGAAACUAAUGGAAAUCGUGAACUAAUUUAACAAAAAAAUUUAUUCGCCGUGUUUUUCAAAAUAGAAAAGAAUUAUUGAAAAAUGAAUAAAAAAUAUUUAUAAAAACGUUCAAAAAUUAUAUUUUAGAAUUUUCUUCUUUAUGUGUCGCAUUUUUGUAAGUCAAAAAUCCCGCAAUCUCUGGAGACCGAGCGGGAAAAGACGUCACCUGAACUGUCGUAAAUUUCAAAGGUCAAAAACUCAACAUUUAUGGUCUGCUAGUUGUGAAAUGUUUGAUUACCGACAGCUGAGGUAAGUACAACCAACCCCAGAAGGGAAAACAACAUAAUGCGCAAAUAAGCAAAAUUAGGCGAACCAAACCACAAAUCGCGUUCAAAACACAAACCAAGUGUUGCUAAAUCGUUUAAAGAAACACAAUAAGAACAGAAAAAAUGUUUCAAAACAGAAAUUUGUUAUCAUUCAAAACCAUUUUGUGACUAUUCUCAUCAAAACGGUCAAUUUGUUCAAUGCUCAUUUUUGUUACUGUUGUGUACUUUAUAGUCUACCUUCUUUACCCGUCUAAUACUAUUUACCACACGCACUCUCUCUAGUCUAUCUCUCCAUUACAUCUCCUAGUCCUUUCAUUCAUUCUCUUCUCACCAUCUUUAAUGGAUAUGUUUAAUUCAAAAGUUCACAUCCCAUUAUGUUCGUUGCUUUGAAACCGAAAUUUGAUUAAUUAAUCACGAAUGGAUUUUUUUCCGCUGCGAUUUUUUAUUUUGUUUCAUUGUGGUCGCAUCAAAAAGUGUUUAACCAUUUGCAAUUAUUGGUCUUUAUUUGAUAUCAUUAAUCAUGAAAACAUGCAUGUACGUACGUGCGGUUUCAAAUUUUGGUCUACUGUACUUCUUUGAUCUUUGCAAUUACCUCCAACAACCCACCAAGUUCUCAAAAUUAAAUCAGAGAACGUGAUUUAUGUCCGCCCACACACAAAAAUCACUUUUUUUCAGUAAUAUUUUUUAUGCAAUGCUGUGCAAGAUUUGUGACGGUCCAUCGACUGAAUACCAUUUCGGUUGUCCAUCGUGCAGG